GCUUUCAUGGUGUACCAGUAACACACUCGGCGCGUAUUCCAGAGGUCCAGGUUCGAAUCCCGGUAAGGGCA
rnacentral:tRNA from 1 species